AUGGCCUGGACCCCUCUCCUCAUCCUGCUCCUCUGUCACUCCACAGGUUCCCUCUCCCAGCCUAUGCUGACUCAGCCGCCCUCCCUCUCUGCGUCUCCUGGAGCAACAGCCAGACUCACCUGCACCCUGAGCAGCGGAUUCAGUGUUGGCAGCUAUACCAUACGCUGGUACCAGCAGAAGCCAGGGAGCCCUCCCCAGUUCCUCCUCUACUAUAAAUCAGACUCAGAUAAGUAUCAUGGCCCCGGGGUCCCCAGCCACUUCUCUGGGGCCAAAGAUGCCUCUGCCAAUGCAGGCCUCCUGCUCAUCUCGGGGCCGCAGCCUGAGGACGAGGCCGACUACUACUGUAGUAUAUAUGAUAUAAACACAGACCCUUCACAGUGCUCUAGACCCAGGGGAACCCAGUGA